CCUACGGGUGGCAGCAGUAGGGAAUAUUGCUCAAUGGGGGAAACCCUGAAGCAGCAACGCCGCGUGGAGGAUGAAGGUUUUAGGAUUGUUAACUCCCUUUUUUACAGAAGAUAAUGACGGUAUCUAACGAAUAAGCACCGGCUAAAUCCGUUCCAGCAGCCGUGGUAAUACGGAGGGUGCAAGCGUUACUCGGAAUCACUGGGCGUAAGGGGCGUGUAGGGGGGAUAGCAAGUCAGAGGUGAAAAACUAUGGGUUAAAAAGAGAACUGCAGUUGAAACUGUAAGACUAGAGUAUGGAAGAGGAAGGUGGAAUUUGUGGUGUAGGGGUAAAAUCCAUAGAGAUUAAGAGGAAAACCGAUUGCGAAGGCAGCCGGCUAGGGCGUAACUGACGCUGAGGCGCGAAGGCGUGGGGAUCAAACAGGAUUAGAUACCCGGGUAGUC
rnacentral:rRNA from 1 species